AACGAACGCUGGCGGCAUGCCUAACACAUGCAAGUCGAACGAGACCUUCGGGUCUAGUGGCGCACGGGUGCGUAACGCGUGGGAACCUGCCCUUAGGUUCGGAAUAACUCCCCGAAAGGGGUGCUAAUACCGGAUAAUGUCUUCGGACCAAAGAUUUAUCGCCUUUGGAUGGGCCCGCGUUGGAUUAGCUUGUUGGUAGGGUAAAAGCCUACCAAGGCGACGAUCCAUAGCUGGUCUGAGAGGAUGAUCAGCCACACUGGGACUGAGACACGGCCCAGACUCCUACGGGAGGCAGCAGUGCAGAAUAUUGGACAAUGGGCGAAAGACUGAUCCAGCAAUGCCGCGUGAGUGAUGAAGGCCUUAGGGUUGUAAAGCUCUUUUAACCGGGAUGAUAAUGACAGUACCGGGAGAAUAAGCUCCGGCUAACUCCGUG
rnacentral:rRNA from 1 species